AAUCCCACCUUUGUAGCAAUACCGAGGUGGGGGAAGUGGCGAAAGGGGCAGUAGUGUGUGGGUAACCUACCCCUGGGGACUGGGAUAGCCUUCCUAACGGAAGGGUAAUACCGGGCAAUGUAGCUGGAAGGCAUCUUUUGGCUACCAGAUGAGUUUCGCCCUGGGAGGGGCUCACAUCGUAUUAGCUAGUUGGUGAGGUAAUGGCUCACCAAGGCAAAGAUGCGUAGCGGGUGUGAGAGCACGACCCGCGCCACUGGCACUGAGACACUGGCCAGACACCUACGGGUGGCUGCAGUCGAGGAUCUUUGGCAAUGGACGCAAGUCUGACCAAGCGACGCCGCGUGUGCGAUGAAGGCCUUCGGGUUGUAAAGCACUGUCGAGGGGGAUCAAGGCGCAAGCUUGAGAGAUCCCUGGAGGAAGCACGGGCUAAGUUCGUGCCAGCAGCCGCGGUAAGACGAACCGUGCGAACGUUGUUCGGAAUCACUGGGCUUAAAGGGCGCGUAGGCGGCUCGCCAAGUCAGGGGUGAAAUACUUCAGCUUAACUGGAGAAGUGCCCUUGAUACUGGCGGGCUCGAGGGAGGUAGGGGUCUGUGGAACUUCUGGUGGAGCGGUGAAAUGCGUUGAUAUCAGAAGGAACGCCGGUGGCGAAAGCGACGGACUGGACCUCUUCUGACGCUGAGGCGCGAAAGCUAGGGGAGCAAACGGGAUUAGAUACCCCGGUAGUCCUAGCCCUAAACGAUGGGUACUAGAUUGUAGACUUGACAUGGGUUUACAGUCGAAGCAAAAGUGUUAAGUA
rnacentral:rRNA from 1 species